AAUCAGUGCCAUUGGCUUUAGCUUUGCCCUUGAACUCGAAAUCUCGUGCCUUAUUCUUUCCUGGGGACUGGUGUUGGAUAUUGAACGGGCGGAGUUACCGCCGGGAUGAUGGAUGAAGGAGAUGAUGGCCUAAACUUGGCUGCGCGCAUUCUCAUUUUCGCGUGGCCUGCCACUAGUGUUGCGCAGAUUCACAAAGGGUGUCACAGGCAUAGCUGGAGGAAGAAAGGUACUACACGAAUGCGAAACGCGACAAACUCUACAACGUCAUUAGCCUGGAGUUCACCAAGACUAAGUUGGAGCCUCUAGUGGAGUCACCCAGUCUGGUACGUCAUUUGGGUUGGGUGGACUUGGUGUGGCCGGAAACAUUGCGCGCUUUGCAGCAGGAGGCCACCAACCGACUGGUCGACAUGAAAUAUCCCAAAGUGCAAAAGUACUGCCUGAUGAGCGUCGGUGGCUGCUAAACAGAUUUCCGUAUCGACUUUGGUGGCACAUCCGUCUGGUAUCACAUUCUCAAGGGUGGAAAGGUCAGCAUUCCCUGUCUGUUUGUCUGCACGCCUGUCUGUUUUUGUGUCACACACAUGCACACAGUAUAUAGAUGGACGAUGGGUGUAGAUACAGACAUACAUCUAUCUGUCUGUCUGUCUGUC